GCUUUACUUAUGUGUAGAUGAAUCCUGG
rnacentral:piRNA from 1 species